ensembl:lncRNA
UAAAGAAUCCACCUGAAGUGCAGGAGACCCAGGUUCAUUACCUGGGUCAGGAAGAUCCCCUAGAGAAGGGAAUGGCUACCUGCUCUAGUAUUCUUGCUUGGAGAAUUCAAUGAACUGAGAAACCUGGUAGGCUACAGUCCAUGGGGUCACAAAGAGUCGGAAUGACAGCGACAACUAACACUUUCCCUUUUUUUUUUUUACUUUCAUAAUCUUUAAGACAAUCUCAUAAUCCAACCAACCAGGUCAAGUCAGAAAAAACUGUGAUACUGAUACAGCAAUUCAGAUGGUACUUUGACUAGAAAACCAUGGAAUUCAAGAAUCAUUUCCCAAAUUACAGCCACUUGUCUCCACAAGUUCCUUAUUGGAGCCAUAGCCAGGGGUUAUGCCAUUUUCCAUUUUCCAGGGGCCAUGGAAAACUCAAGGCACAGUAGUAUUCCCUGUGAACUAUGCCUUUGGCCUUAGACUGAGUGCAGAAUAUCUGCACUACAAAAAACAGUGAUUUUUUUCCUAAAGUGCUUGUCAGUUUCAAAAUAAAACAAGCCAUGAACUUUGCUGCUUUCAUAGUUCCCCCUUCCCACCACCCUCAUAACUUCCCUCAUAGCUCAGUUGGUAAAGAAUCUGCCUGCAAUGCAGGAGACCCUUGUUCGAUUCCUGGGUAGGGAAAAUCCGCUGGAGAAGGGAUAGGCUACUCACUCCAGUAUUCUUGGGCUUCCCUUGUAGCUCAGUUGGUAAAGAAUCCGCCUGCAAUGUGGGAGACCUGGGUUUGAUCCACUCGUUGGGAAGAUCCCCUGGAGAAGGAAAAGGCUACCCACUCCAGUAUGCUGGCCUGGAGAAUUCCAUGGAUUGUAUAGUCCAUAGGAUCACAAAGAGUUGGACAUGACUGAAUGACUUUCACUUUCACUUUCCCACUACAACUGAACCUGAGUCUAGGAUGCUGUAAAUUCCACCACAGAAGAGAAGGGCACGGCACGGCAAACAUACCUGCGUCAUAACAACUUUCAGCCACAGCAAGUCCCUACACUGAAAUCUGAACAACUGGCCUGAAAAUACCAAGUAUGCUUUAGAAACUCUGAUACAAAAUUAGAACCAUUGAAAAAAAUGAACUUGGCACGAUCUAUUGAAGUUCGGGAUAAUAUUCAUCAAUAUGAACAAUAACUGCAAGGACUGAAACACAGCAUAUAUAUAUCUCAAUGCAUGACUUCAUAAUGAUACAAAAAUAGAACAGAACACUUACUAGUCACCUCUGGAGGAUAUUGUACAACCAACCUAUUAUUUUGAAAAGUGCUAAAUAAAGGGGGAGAACAAAGCCU